rnacentral:rRNA from 1 species
AUUGAACGCUGGCGGCGUGCCUAACACAUGCAAGUCGAGCGGCAGCGCGGGAGCAAUCCUGGCGGCGAGCGGCGAACGGGUGAGUAAUGCUUCGGAAUCUGCCCAUGUAGUGGGGAAUAACCAGCCGAAAGGUUGGCUAAUACCGCAUACGACCUACGGGUGAAAGCAGGGGAUCGUAAGACCUUGCGCUAUUGGAUGAGCCGAAGUCGGAUUAGCUUGNGGUGAGGUAACGGCUCACCAAGGCGACAAUCCGUAGCUGGUCUGAGAGGACGACCAGCCACACUGGGACUGAGACACGGCCCAGACUCCUACGGGAGGCAGCAGUGGGGAAUAUUGGACAAUGGGGGCAACCCUGAUCCAGCGACGCCGCGUGUGUGAAGAAGGCCUGCGGGUUGUAAAGCACUUUU